AUUGUCCUCUUACUACGAAACGUCGAAAAGGCUUUCAAAUUUUCGAUCUGUAAACAUUUUUGUCAUUGUUAAUCGAUCAUAUUCGUUCUUUUCGUCUAAAGUUGAACUAUUUAAUGCGGAAUGGGUAUCUGAUGUUGGUUUAAAGUGGCACACUUUGCAAGGCCUGCACCACGUGCUAUAGGCAAAUGUAACAGGCUAACAGCCGCUUUUUGGUAACUCCCAUCGACUUCACGUAAAUAUGACUUCGUUUUACUUCGUCCCAUUGCUAUAUGAUGAUAAAGUGUUGGUAGGGACAUCUGAAUGGAUGUGAAGAAACGCCAACUACCCUGACAGCGUGGGGACGCAUCCGCGAGUGAAGCUACACGUUAGCCUGUUUGCUAAAGCUAACGUCUAUUCUGAGUCGAUUUCCUAUCUGACAAGCUUUUUUUUUCCCCCUUUUACAGUUUCACGACUCCCAAGAUGCGGCAAGCAACUGAAUUGAAGCACUUUUGGAGGCCGCAUCAAAGACCGGAGUCGUUAAAAAUGCUCCACUUGGGGUGUGAUUCACCUGACUGACAUCAGAGUUAGCUGCUUUCCCUGCCAUCUGCUACCUGGUGCUUAGUCUUGUCAUUUGAUUGCAGGUGUUGUCCUGGCUUAUAUUCAGGUAAGAUUUUAGUAUUUUUUUAAUGACCUUUAAAAUGGCUGACUAAAAUGAUGAGUUCAUAGUUCAACAGAUACUCUGUGAAGAUAACUAUUCGCCCCUAUCUGACAUGUUGGCCUACGCAACAUCUCAGGCACAAACGCAAGAUGUGAUUCUAAUUUUUUAAUUUUCCCUUAUAGGUUAAAAGACAGACUGCACGGUACGUUGACUUGAAUAUUUUAUCUACUAGAUUUAGCACAAUGAUGACUUCAUAGUUCAGCGGAUAAUUAGUGAUGACUACUUUUCGCUCCUAUCUGAUGUGUGGCUUGAAUACAUUGUUCACAUAAAAUUGUAAGGGGCACUGUUAAAUUUGUUCCCUUUUCUCUCAUCCAGGCUUCAUGAAGCUAUGCUGAAAGAAUGGAGCAUUCACUUGCAUGAUUGCUGAGGAAAGAGUUUGACUGCAUUCUGCAAAAGUCAUCACUUCAGGAGCUGAGCCUACCUUGCAUGUAGAUCCCACCAUCAAAUGGAUGAAUUGAAGCAUAACUGGAAGUUGGCUGACUGAGCUCAGAAUUAAGGAGGAAGUGUGCAUCUUCAUCACUUCAUAGACAUGGGGAGGACCACAAGUGGCUUUCAUUAAUGAUGGGGCCGUAAGGGGACACUUGAACUCAUUCGAGAUGAGGCGGUGCUCAAGGAUACCUUGGCAAAAGCAACAAAC